CUUUGUUAAGUCCUUCCCUCUGCAAAGGACUUCCUAGCGGGUGUGAAAGGCAGCGGUGGCCACAGAGGCGGUGGAGAGAUGGCCUUCAGCGGUUCCCAGGCUCCCUACCUGAGCCCAGCCGUCCCCUUUUCUGGGACUAUUCAAGGAGGUCUCCAGGACGGACUUCAGAUCACUGUCAAUGGGACCGUUCUCAGCUCCAGUGGAACCAGGUUUGCUGUGGACUUUCAGACUGGCUUCAGUGGAAAGGACAUUGCCUUCCACUUCAACCCACGGUUUGAAGACAGAGGGUACGUGGUAUGCAACACGAGGCAGAAUGGAAGCUGGGGGCCCGAGGAGAGGAAGACGCACAUGCCCUUCCAGAAAGGGAUGCCCUUUGACCUCUGCUUCCUGGUGCAGAGCUCAGAUUUCAAGGUGAUGGUGAACGGGAGCCUCUUCGUGCAGUACUUCCACCGCGUGCCCUUCCACCGUGUGGACACCAUCUCCGUCAAUGGCUCUGUGCAGCUGUCCUACAUCAGCUUCCAGGUCAGACUGUCCACCUGGCACCGGUCCCAGGGGCUGGGAUGCAGGGCCCAGUGUAGCUGUGCCUAGGCCCUGCUG
rnacentral:sRNA from 1 species